GCCUCCGUAGCAUAGCGGCUAUUGCGGCGGACUUGUAACAGCCUUUUAAGAAAAGGUUGGGAGCAAUCCGCAGGUCGAGGGUUCAAUUCCCUUCGGAGGCU
rnacentral:tRNA from 1 species